UGGGGAAUAUUGCACAAUGGGCGAAAGCCUGAUGCAGCAACGCCGCGUGAGUGAUGAAGGCCUUCGGGUUGUAAAGCUCUGUCUUUUGGGACGAUAAUGACGGUACCAAAGGAGGAAGCCACGGCUAACUACGUGCCAGCAGCCGCGGUAAUACGUAGGUGGCAAGCGUUGUCCGGAUUUACUAGGCGUAAAGGAUGCGUAGGCGGAUUUUUAAGUGAGAUGUGAAAUACCCGGGCUUAACUUGGGUGCUGCAUUUCAAACUGGGAAUCUAGAGUGCGGGAGAGGAGAAUGGAAUUCCUAGUGUAGCGGUGAAAUGCGUAGAGAUUAGGAAGAACACCAGUGGCGAAGGCGAUUCUCUGGACCGUAACUGACGCUGAGGCAUGAAAGCGUGGGUAGCAAACAGGAUUAGAUACCCUGGUAGUCCACGCCGUAAACGAUGAGUACUAGGUGUAGGAGGUAUCGACCCCUUCUGUGCCGCAGUUAACACAAUAAGUACUCCGCCUGGGAAGUACGAUCGCAAGAUU
rnacentral:rRNA from 1 species